UACGGAGGGGGCUAGCGUUGUUCGGAAUUACUGGGCGUAAGGGCGCGCAGGCGGCUGCUCAAGUCAGGCGUGAAAGGCCUGGGCUCAACCCGGGAAUUGCGCUUGAGACUGGGCUGGCUUGAGUGCGGGAGAGGAUGGUGGAAUUCCCAGUGUAGAGGUGAAAUUCGUAGAUAUUGGGAAGAACACCGGUGGCGAAGGCGGCUAUCAUGAUCAAAACUGACGCUGAGGAACGAAAGCAUGGGGAGCAAACAGG
rnacentral:rRNA from 1 species